rnacentral:RNase_P_RNA from 1 species
GUGGGCGGAAGCUCAUUGUAGAGGUCACAUGCUGAGUGCUCGUCACUCCACCAAUCACCUCGGGGAAGGUCUGAGACAAGAGCCAAUAGUUACCCUAGCAGGGUAUCACCUGAUUCGGGUGAGCGAGUGAACAGCAAACAUGGGCCACUGUGAGCGGCCAUAGCAGGAGAAGCUGAACGGUGCAGUUUCUCAGCACCGCCGGUGGAUGCGACGUUCACUGGCUUGGAAUCGCUCGCGGCUGGCAGAUGAGUACGAUGUAUGAGGUGGAGCAUAGCUCCAGAACCCAAUUCAGACUACUCUCCCCCCAC